CCCCUCCCAUGGUUGUACCUGGAGAGUUUGCAGUACUCUACCGGCCUCGAAUAUGGGAGGGAGAGUCACGCAGAUGCAUAUACAUUCAAUUCCUAGCUUGGGCAGUGGCUAGUGAGUGGAAGGUAAUCUGCUACCAGA